rnacentral:lncRNA from 1 species
UGCCUACCAGUCCGCCUAACGGAGCUAGUCCGCAUCUGCUUGUUUGCAAACCCAUGUCGUAUACUGCCAUGAGUUUGAAGGGGGGUGUUGGAAAAUAUUAGUAUUUAGUUUAUAUGAAUGCUAGGUUUUCUGAGCUUAGCCCGUUAGCAUUAGGGUUUUGAUUUCUUAACUUUUAGGAUUAGGGUUAGUUUAUUAUAAAUAGCAUGCUUGUUAUUCAUUUGAGAACAAGUCAUUCACAAUGUAGUCUUUUAGGGUUUUGUAGCCAUUUCAGCAUUUUUGUUUGUUUAAUAAUAUUCCUAUUAUUUUGUAGUCUUGUUCGUUGCGCACUUUGAUAUUCAACUCAUUGAUAUUGUAAACUUUAUUGAAACUGCUAUUUCUUAUCUUAUCUUUAAUAGAUCAAAUGAAUGCAUACAAUAAUAGAGGGCAGCCGGGGGAGAGAUGGGUAUCCUUAGUUUUUGCAGAACCUUCCCUCCUUUAUUAUUUUAUGAGAGAGAGAGAGAGAGAGAGAGAGAGAGAGAGAGAGAGAGACGAAGUUAGCUAGGGUUCACUAGAAACUGUUGUGCAUGGCUCCAUUCCCCUUGUAGCUAUUAUAUCCAAUCAUACAUACAGCCGACGGAGAUACUAUGGGCUUCCUUCUCCUCCUUAAUGCCUCACUCACUUAGCACAAGAGCACAAUCUCUACCCCAGAUACACCUAUUCACAAGUAUGACUAUACUGAGGUUUUCGGUCAAUGUGGUAUGAUGUACCAUGCGGCAUCACUUGAUAUGUAUAUAAUGACUCCUCGUAAUUAGCAUACACACAUCGAACGUGCCGAAGAAUUAGACCUGGCAUUCGUGUCGUGUUUUCCAUAUUCGUGUCGUUUUCGUGUCAUACCUGAUAUCUUAACAGGUCGUAUCGUGUAACACCCGUUAAAAUAAACGGGUAAAAUAACCCGACCCGAAAUCGACCCGAUAAUAUUAACAGGUAAUAUGACCCGACCCGUUACCCGUUAAGGAAAAUAUAUUUUAAACCAAUAAAUAAUCAAAUGAAAAACAUAAUACUAAAUAAGUAUAUACAUUCCAUAUUAUCACAUCCAAAACAUAAAAACGCAAUUUUGUUUUAAGUAUAUUUUCGCUUACCUAAAGUCUUUAAUAGUUUUUUAAUUAAUGUAGAAGUGUAAAAAUAUAUAUAAACACUCGUAAUGACAAGCUUUAUAACUUUCAUGAGGAGCUUAACUUCGAAAUUCACCACUAUAAUCAUAUAAAUCAUAGAUCAAAAUUUAACCGUUGAUUGUUGUUUACAUUUAUGCUUCAUUGUUCUCAUCAAAUUUCGUUUUUUUUAGAUUUUCUUUUUUGAAAACAUGAUCUAUUAGAUGGUGCAGGUAGAUGAACGGUUUGGAUCGUUGAUAUUAUAUUUCGAGUUUUACGGUUAGUGAAAAUAUUGCUUGAUGUUUGUAAAGUUUCUACAAAUUAUAUGACAUUGACUCAUAUUUCAGUUAACCGUAAAUAUCGAAACGUGAUAUCAUCUUCCUGCAUCCGCCAGAUGAUCAUGUUUUCAAAAAAUAAAAUUUUAAAAAUGAAAUUCAGUAAGAAGAAUAAAGCGUAAAUGACAAUCGACGGUUAAAUCAAUUUAAGGUUUCACUACUACAAAAUUAUCUAUUGCUGGCGGUCCAAAAACUUUUUUCAACGAUCCAACCGUCAAACUUAUUUGUAAACAUUCCAAGAUUGCAUACAUAAAAAAUCGUAAAAAACAAACAUUCAGAGAUUACGUAACGGAACAAAAGUUUUCAACGGUUAUAAACGAAAAAUCACAAUUUAACGGUUAUUUUAGCUCCGAUUUUGAUGAUUUUUUACAUAUACACUCCUCGCCCCUAUAAGAAUGUAAUGAAAAAAAUUGAUCUUUAAUUUAAAGUAUUUACACUAGUGGAUACCACAAAAACUUAUUUUAUACUUAAUAGAAGUAUAAUAUUAACACUAAGUGUUUGUUUAAUCUACCGUUUUGACGCAAUAUGCAUUCUACGAAACUUUUUUCAACGAUCCAGCCGUCAAACUUAUUUGUACACAUUCUGAGAUCGCAUACGUAAAAAAUCGUAAAAAGAAAACAUUCAGAGAUUACGUAAUGGAACAAAAGUUUUCGACGGUUAUAAACGAAAAAUCACAAUUUAACGGUUAUUUUAUCUCCGAUUUUGAUGAUUUUUUACAGAUACACUCCUCGACCUAUAAGAAUGUACUGAAUAAAUUUGAUCUUUAAUUUAAAGUAUUUACACUAGUGGAUACCACAAAAACUUAUUUUAUACUUAAUAUAAGUAUAAUAUUAACUCUAAGUGUUUGUUUAAUCAACUGUUUUGACGCAAUAUGCAUUCUACAAAAAAAAUUUCAAAAAUCCAACCGUCAAACUUAUUUGUACACAUUCCGAGAUCCCAUACGUAAAAAAUCGUAAAAACAAACAUUCAGAGAUUACGUAACGGAACAAAAGUUUUCGACGGUUAUAAACGAAAAAUCACAAUUUAACGGUUAUUUUAACUCCGAUUUUAAUGAUUUUUUACAAAUACACUCCUCUACCCUAUAAGAAUGUAAUGAAUAAAUUUGAUCUUUAAUUUAAAGUAUUUACACUAGUGGAUACCACAAAAACUUAUUUUAUACUUAAUAGAAGUAUAAUAUUAACUCUAAAGGCGCUUUUACUAAUCCGUAAUCAUAUUGAGAGGAAUUGGAUUGAGGAGAAAUUGGAUUGAGGAGGAAUUGAAAUGAAGUGGAAUCAGAAUCAGAUUCCUGUUAAAGUUGUCUACUAUAACUGUCUGGAAUCGGAAUAUAAAUGAUGUUGAGUCCAUAUAAGUUGUUUACUAAUUCACUUCAAUCAGAAUUAAAACUAAUAUGAUUACUAAAUUGCCCUUACAUAAAUAAAUUAUUUUCAUACUAAUUAAUUAAAUUAAAUUAAAUUACACCCAACAAAUCCCCUUGCCCGGUUCCCAAUCACCCAGAAACUCUUCAUUUUUCUUCUUUCUCGUAAACUCUGCACCGCCCUCAUACCCCAAAACCAUCUUCAGCGCCUCAUACCCCAAAACUACCUUCAGCUUCCCCCUCUUAUUUCUCCAUCUCUCUCCAACCACACAGCCGAAUAUACCCCACAACCACCAUAGCAGUGGAUCCACCACAACUGCAGCUUCAAUUCCAGGUGUUAGAGUGUAGUGACCACCACUGCCGCUUCAAUUCCAGAUACCGAACGAGUCUCAAAUCCUGGCACAAAAUCAUCCAGAAUCGUGAUUAAGCUGGUGAACGAGCAAGGGAGUCGGCAGAUUGGGCAAAGAGAGUCACAGGUACGAAGGGGGACGUAGAAGAUGCGGGGGUAGUUUGGGUAUAAAAGUUGGAUUCCUGGAAGAGUCUUUUCCUCGGAAUCCAAAUACCACCUUCAUCUAGGGAAUCCGAUUCCGGGAGAUUUAGGGAUCCAAUUCCUGAUUUUAAGUGGACCCUAUCUUGUUUUUGAUUCUGGAAAUGUUAGUAAACAGCUUGAAUGCCUAGAAAAGAAUCCAAUUCCGUUUCUUGUCAUUUCGUUCCGGUUUCAUAAACACGCCAUAAAUGUUUGCUUAAUCUACCGUUUUGACGCAAUAUGCAUUCUACAAAACGUUUUUCAACAAUCCAACUAUCAAACUUAUUUGUACACAUUCCGAGAUCGCAUACGUAAAAAAUCGUAAAAAAAAAACAUUCAGAGAUUACGUAAUGGAACAAAAGUUUUCGACGGUUAUAAACGAAAAAUCACAAUUUAACGGUUAUUUUAUCUCCGAUUUUGAUGAUUUUUUACAGAUACACUCCUCGACCCUAUAAGAAUAUAAUGAAUAAAUUUAAUCUUUAAUUUAAAGUAUUUAUACUAGUGGAUACCACAAAAACUUCUUUUAUACUUAAUAGAAGUAUAAUAUUAACUCUAAGUGUUAGUUUAAUCUACUAUUUUGAAGCAAUAUGCAUUUACAAAACUUUUUUCAACGAUCCAACCGUCAAACUUAUUUGUACACAUUCCGAGAUCGCAUACGUAAAAAAUCAUAAAAAACAAACUUUCAGAGAUUACGUAACGGAACAAAAGUUUUCGACGGUUAUAAAUGAAAAAUAACAAUUUAACGGUUAUUUUAGCUCCGAUUUUGAUGAUUUUUUACAGAUACACUCCUCAACCCUAUAAGAAUGUAACGAAUAAAUUUGAUCUUUAAUUUAAAGUAUUUACACUAGUGGAUAUCACAAAAACUUAUUUUAUACUUAAUAGAAGAAUAAUAUUAACUCUAAAUGUUUGUUUAAUCUACUGUUUUGACUCAAUAUGCAUUCUACACAACUUUUUUCAAUGAUCCAACCGUCAAACUUAUUUGUACACAUUUCGAGAUCGCAUACGUAAAAAAUCAUAAAAAACAAACAUUCAGAGAUUAUGUAACGGAACAAAAGUUUUCGACGGUUAUAAACGAAAAAUCACAAUUUAACGGUUAUUUGAGUUCCCAUUUUGAUGAUUUUUUACAGAUACACUCCUCGAUCCUAUAAGAAUGUAAUGAAUAAAUUUGAUCUUUAAUUUAAAGUAUUUACUCUAGUGGAUACCACAAAAACUUUUUUUAUACUUAAUUGAAGUAUAAUAUUAACUUUAAGUGUUUGUUUAAUCUACUAUUUUGACGCAAUAUGCAUUCUCCGAAACUUUUUUUAAUGAUCCAACCAUCAAACCUAUUUGUACACAUUUCGAGAUUGCAUACGUAAAAAAUCGUAAAAAAUAAACAUUCAGAGAUUACGUAACGGAAUAAAAGUUUUUGACGGUUAUAAACGAAAAAUCACAAUUUAACGGUUAUUUUAACUCCGAUUUUGAUGAUUUUUUUACAGAUAUACUCAUCGACCAUAUAAGAAUGUAAUGAAUAAAUUUGAUCUUUAAUUUAAAGUAUUUACACUAGUGAAUACCACAAAAACUUAUUUUAUACUUAAUAAAAGUAUAAUAUUAACUCCAAGUGUUUGUUUAAUCUAUCGUUUUGACGCAAUAUGCAUUCUACAAAACUUUUUUCAAUGAUCCAACCGUCAAACUUAUUUGUACACAUUCGAAGAUCGCAUACGUAAAAAAUUGUAAAAAACAAACAUUUAGAGAUUACGUAAGAGAACAAAAGUUUUCGACGAUUAUAAACGAAAAAUCACAAUUUAACGGUUAUUUUAGCUUCGAUUUUGAUGAUUUUUUACAGAUAGACUCCUCGACCCUAUAAGAAUGUAAUGAAUAAAUUUGAUCUUUAAUUUAAAGUAUUUACACUAGUGGAUACCCCAAAAACUUAUUUUAUACUUAAUAGAAGUAUAAUAUUAACUCUUAAGUGUUUGUUUAAUCUACCGUUUUGACGCAAUAUGCAUUCUACGAAACUUUUUUCAACGAUCCAACUGUCAAACUUAUUUGUACACAUUCCGAGAUUGCAAACUUAAAAAAUCGUAAAAAACAAACAUUCAAAGAUUACGUAACGGAACAAAAAAUUUCGACGGUUAUAAACAAAAAAUCACAAUUUAACGGUUAUUCUAGCUUCGAUUGUGAUGAUUUUGUACAUAUACACUCCUCGACCCUAUAAGAAUGUAAUGAAUAAAUUUGAACUUUAAUUUAAAGCAUUUACAUUUUUUUAUGUAUGAGUGAUUGUAUAUAUAUAUUUUUACAUUUUUUACACUUCU